GCAGUCGAGCGGCAGCACGGGGGCUACCCUGGUGGCGAGUGGGGAACGGGUGAGUAAUACAUCGGAACGUGUCCUGUAUUGGGGGAUAGCCCGGCGAAAGCCGGAUUAAUACCGCAUACGCUCUACGGAGGAAAGGGGGGGAUCUUAUGACCUCCCGCUACAGGGGCGGCCGAUGGCAGAUUACCUAGUUGGUGGGGUAAAGGCCUACCAAGGCGACGAUCUGUAGCUGGUCUGAGAGGACGACCAGCCACACUGGGACUGAGACACGGCCCAGACUCCUACGGGAGGCAGCAGUGGGGAAUUUUGGACAAUGGGGGCAACCCUGAUCCAGCAAUGCCGCGUGUGUGAAGAAGGCCUUCGGGUUGUAAAGCACUUUUGUCCGGAAAGAAAACGCCGUGGUUAAUACCCGUGGCGGAUGACGGUACCGGAAGAAUAAGCACCGGCUAACUACGUGCCAGCAGCCCCGGUAAUACGUAGGGUGCAAGCGUUAAUCGGAAUUACUGGGCGUAAAGCGUGCGCAGGCGGUCCGCUAAGACAGAUGUGAAAUCCCCGGGCUUAACCUGGGAACUGCAUUUGUGACUGGCGGGCUAUAGUAUGGCACAUGGGGGUAGAAUUCCACGUGUGUAAUUGAAAUGCGUACAGAUGUGGACGAAUACCGAUGGCGAAGGCAGCCCCCUGGGCCAAUACUGACGCUCAUGCACGAAAGCGUGGGGAGCAAACAGGAGUAUAUACCACUGGUAGUCCACGCCCUAAACGAUGUCAACUAGUUGUCGGGGUCUUCAUUGUCUUGGGUAACGUAGCUCACGCGUGAAGCUGACCGCCUGGGGAGUACUGUCGCAGGAUUAAAACUCACAGGAAUUGACGGUUUCAAG
rnacentral:rRNA from 1 species